rnacentral:lncRNA from 1 species
CGAGUAUUUAAACUAAAAAGAACUUAAUCGAAUUACGAUUCAGCCAUGGGUACUGGACCUGUUUGACAGAAAAAUUACAGGAAUUUAAAAUGGCUGAGUUGGCACUAAAAUUACAAUAAACUUAAAAGAAAAUUGGAAAAAUAAAAAAUAAAAAAAUUCCUCCAACGCACACCCACUAAACCCAAAUGAGUUUCCCCAUUUCCCCCAAAUUUACAUUGGUGCACACACGAGUUCUCCUAAAGCCAAGUCAGCUACAGUAUUUACUGUCACCGCCAGCCAGCGCCGUCGAAGAACGUACAUCGCAUCCUUCACAUUUACACCACUGGUAGGCAAGAUUCGCCAUCAUUUUUCCCUAAGCUCCUACCCCACGCAGAAUUGGCCACCGCACUCAUCGUCAUCACCUAGCGCCGCACUCACCUCAGCCGGAUUCACCUCCUUACUUGGGGCCGCACUCACCUAAGCCACAUUUCUAUCCCCUGGCGGUAAUGUAAGUAUUUGUUAAAUAAUUUUUUGACAUGGAUUUUGAGAUUGGAUAAUAGGUUAGCAAAUUGGAGUGCAAGUUUACAUAGAGAUGACGUCAAAUCUGAGUUGGAUCAAACUAUUUGAAAGGCAAGACAAAAUGCAAAUUCUUCCGAGAAUCCUUUAUCACGUUGACAUGCUUAGUGAAGGUCUCAUUAUUUAUGACGAAAUAGAAUAGGUUGCACGAAAGGAAGGGAAAAAACCAAUCUAGAAGUUGUUUUUUAUGAGGAGAGGGACCCCCUCCCCCCAAUGCUGGGCUAGAUCAAAGUUCAAUGAGUGAUCGGGUGCAAAAUAAAGUUAAGUUAGUAAAAUUUGUCACUUUGCAAAGUUUAAUGAGUGUUGAAAUAAUUAACUCCUCUCAGAGUUUGUGAUGGAGGGUAAGGAGGAAGGAAUUAAACGGAAUUGAGUCAUUGGUCCCCAGCUUAAUGUCCCAAGAGCAUUUUAG